GUCGAGCGGAUGAGAAGAGCUUGCUCUUCGAUUCAGCGGCGGACGGGUGAGUAAUGCCUAGGAAUCUGCCUGGUAGUGGGGGACAACGUUUCGAAAGGAACGCUAAUACCGCAUACGUCCUACGGGAGAAAGCAGGGGACCUUCGGGCCUUGCGCUAUCAGAUGAGCCUAGGUCGGAUUAGCUAGUUGGUGAGGUAAUGGCUCACCAAGGCGACGAUCCGUAACUGGUCUGAGAGGAUGAUCAGUCACACUGGAACUGAGACACGGUCCAGACUCCUACGGGAGGCAGCAGUGGGGAAUAUUGGACAAUGGGCGAAAGCCUGAUCCAGCCAUGCCGCGUGUGUGAAGAAGGUCUUCGGAUUGUAAAGCACUUUAAGUUGGGAGGAAGGGCAUUAACCUAAUACGUUAGUGUUUUGACGUUACCGACAGAAUAAGCACCGGCUAACUCUGUGCCAGCAGCCGCGGUAAUACAGAGGGUGCAAGCGUUAAUCGGAAUUACUGGGCGUAAAGCGCGCGUAGGUGGUUUGUUAAGUUGGAUGUGAAAGCCCCGGGCUCAACCUGGGAACUGCAUCCAAAACUGGCAAGCUAGAGUACGGUAGAGGGUGGUGGAAUUUCCUGUGUAGCGGUGAAAUGCGUAGAUAUAGGAAGGAACACCAGUGGCGAAGGCGACCACCUGGACUGAUACUGACACUGAGGUGCGAAAGCGUGGGGAGCAAACAGGAUUAGAUACCCUGGUAGUCCACGCCGUAAACGAUGUCAACUAGCCGUUGGAAUCCUUGAGAUUUUAGU
rnacentral:rRNA from 1 species